rnacentral:lncRNA from 1 species
GGCAAUUAGUGCCUCAAAGCAAUGGUUUUUGGUUCUUAUUCCAUUUGGGAUCUGAUUUGACCAAGUCUUUCUUCACACUUCUAAACAUUCUUCAUGCAUCACUAACACUUGUAAUCAAUCAGAUUCAUUGUAUUAUAACAUAUUCUAAUCCUAAACAACUUUAGACAAGCCAUUUACUGCCUCAAAGCAAUUGUUGUAGGUUCUUAUCCCAUUUGGGACAAAAUUUG